rnacentral:rRNA from 1 species
CACCAGCGCCACAAGUGGGGAUCAGUAUUAUUGGGCCUAAAGCGUUCGUAGCCGGCCAGGUAAAUUUUUUGUGAAAUUGUUAGGCUUAACCUAACAGCGCGCAGAAAACACUGCUUGGCUUGAGACCGGGAGGAGUAAGAGGUAUUCGAUGGGUAGCGGUAAAAUGCAAUAAUCCCUCGAGGACCACCAGUGGCGAAGGCGUCUUACCAGAACGGGUCUGACGGUUAGGAACGAAAGCUAGGGGAGCGAACCGG